GACGAACCGUGCGAACGUUAUUCGGAAUCACUGGGCUUAAAGCGCGUGUAGGCGGGACGGCACGUCGGUCGCUGAAAGCCCCCGGCUCAACCGGGGAACGGGCGCCGAUACGACCGGCCUGGAGGGACGUAGGGGGACCUGGAACUUCCGGUGGAGCGGUGAAAUGCGUUGAGAUCGGAAGGAACGCCCGUGGCGAAAGCGGUGGUCUGGGCCGGUACUGACGCUGAGGAGCGAAAGCGUGGGGAGCGAACAGG
rnacentral:rRNA from 1 species